rnacentral:tRNA from 1 species
GGGGUUGUGGCUUAGUGGUAGAGCACUCGCCUAGCAUGUGUGAGGCACUGGGUUCAAUCCUCAGCACCA